rnacentral:lncRNA from 1 species
AUGUCUAGCUGGGCUGGAGCAAAGGAUUUCAAGAACGGGAGCAAAGAGGGAUCUCCUGGAAAACCUGCUGUUUUCUGCUCUCCUCCCCUGGAGAAGUUGGAAAGGAAGAAAAUCAUCAUCCUGUUUGUUCUUGUUUCAUGUGCUAUUAUGUUCCCUUACUUCUCCAUGAAGAUAACUUCAGGGAAAUACUUCUCCACUGAACCUUUGAAAGUAGGACAUCACAGAAGGAUGUGAACACUGAGCCCCAGAAACAAGAUCCAGUAGAAAGAACCAGUUGUGAUGUUGAGUCUGCUAGACAGGUUCCUGGAGCAAGAGUGAAGAGAUUGGAUCCCAUCAUUGGGACACUUUAGGUAAGUCACCAGUCUUCCCUCCAUUGUCUUCUAUACAACAGGAUAACAGUACCCAAUGCUUCUGACCACCCAGGAGUAUUGUGAAGUUUAGGUAUGAACCCAUGUGGGAAAGCAACCUGUGAUUGUAGGUGGGAGGGAAGGACCAGUGUACUAUAUUAACAGAUACACCCC